rnacentral:lncRNA from 1 species
GGACUGUAUACAUCGCGUUCUUGGAUUAACUUAUGCCAUUGUUUGUCAUGGUUGUUGAGAUCCAUGUGCUUACAGGAGACACGCGGUGUUUCUUAAUUCAUAACGAUGGGGAUGCUGACUGCACGGGAAAUUGUUCAGCUGAUAAUAAAUCUGAUAGGUUAAGGUUCUUGUCUGGUUCCUUUUUACUUCAUUAUCUAAUGAGGUUUUUGGCUUUAUCCUUGAAGCUAAUUUGAGUUCUGAGCUAUUCAUUUACA